AACGAACGCUGGCGGCAGGCUUAACACAUGCAAGUCGAGCGCCCCGCAAGGGGAGCGGCAGACGGGCGAGUAACGCGUGGGAAUCUACCCAUCUCUACGGAAUAACGCAUGGAAACGUGUGCUAAUACCGUAUACGUCCUUCGGGAGAAAGAUUUAUCGGAGAUGGAUGAGCCCGCGUUGGAUUAGCUAGUUGGUGGGGUAAAGGCCUACCAAGGCGACGAUCCAUAGCUGGUCUGAGAGGAUGAUCAGCCACUCUGGGACUGAGACACGGCCCAGACUCCUACGGGAGGCAGCAGUGGGGAAUAUUGGACAAUGGGCGCAAGCCUGAUCCAGCCAUGCCGCGUGAGUGAUGAAGGCCCUAGGGUUGUAAAGCUCUUUCACCGGUGAAGAUAAUGACGGUAACCGGAGAAGAAGCCCCGGCUAACUUCGUGCCAGCCGCCGCAGUAAGAC
rnacentral:rRNA from 1 species